GUCCUGUUUGAAGUGGUCCUACAGGCAGAGGUUAGGAAUGAAAAAGGAUGUUCGUAUUGGUGAUCCUGACCGUGCAUUUUUAUCCUAUUUGCAUAGUAGAUCAACGAAAGAGUCAGUAGACAGGUGUGUAACUUUAAAAAUAUGAUGAAGGUGAUGCCUUUUCUCAUUAUAAAAACGUGUCUCUAGGCAGAAAUUAUUAUCUUAUACUAAGAUAUUAAUACAUAUUGAAAAGACUGAUAAUCAUUGUGAGAAAAGCGGUAUUAAUAUGCUAUCUCUUUGGCUAAGGGUGAUGUAGAAAGUGACAGGUAAUUGUAAUUAACUCAGUCAGUUAACAGUUUGACAUUUGAUUAUUGAGGGCAAACGAAAUAAAUAUUGCGAUGAGGAUAUGACUCCACUACUGUGCAAAUGGAUAGUGGAAGAUUUGGAUCAAGGGAGAGACUAUCUCAAUAUUUUUAAAACCUUGUCUGCUUGUUGUUGUUCAGAGGACAUGCUCCUGCUCUUUCGGCUUCUGCUGAGCUCAAGAUUGUCAGGCCGCCUCCGCGCCAGCAAAGAAGCGAAGGAGGGUGCACCGGACCUGAAUGCAGCUUUCUUCCUUGAUGAGCAGGACAGGAGCUCAAAGGGAUGUUGGCCUCCGCUGGGAUGAAGGCUCUCCUCUUGGAGUUGUUCUAGGAGAGACCAAG
ensembl:lncRNA